GCCUGAGUGGCUAAGUCGGGUAAGGGUCUGACUUCGGUUCAGGUCAUGAUGUCACGGUUCGUGGGUUCGAGCCCCGCGUCGGGCU
rnacentral:tRNA from 1 species